UGACUUCCCAUGUAUCUGAAGGAGGACUUUUUGUUGUUCUUGAUUUCCGUAGCUAGCCUAAGUUUGGUUUGCGCGUUGGCUUUUCUCGACCACUCUCUACAGGUGCGGGUGAGUGCAGAGUAAUCCUCUUUGGUAAUGCUUCCCAUUUUCCAGCUGGUGUAGGCUAGUCUUUUGAGCUGAAUGAGGUCCAACGGUUCCUUAUUCAGCGAUGGGGCCUUCCUUGCCCGUUGAGUUCAUUUCUUGUGAGAUGGUAUAGCUUUGCCCUGUGCUUCAAGGAUUAUGUUUUU